rnacentral:rRNA from 1 species
GCGCAACCCUUGUCCUUAGUUACCAGCACGGUUAUGGUGGGCACUCUAAGGAGACUGCCGGUGACAAACCGGAGGAAGGUGGGGAUGACGUCAAGUCAUCAUGGCCCUUACGGCCUGGGCUACACACGUGCUACAAUGGUCGGCGACAAAGGGUUGCCAAGCCGCGAGGUGGAGCUAAUCCCAUAAAACCGAUCGUAGUCCGGAUCGCAGUCUGCAACUCGACUGCGUGAAGUCGGAAUCGCUAGUAAUCGUGAAUCAGAAUGUCACGGUGAAUACGUUCCCGGGCCUU